AUGGCUAUCAAUGAAAUCGCAAUGUGUUACUGUUGCCUUUCCAUUACCGCUGACACAAUUAUCACAUGGAAAAAAUACUGUUUUAUAGAGCCUGAGGUUCCUAAAGAAAAAGCUCCUGAACCAAAACUCAAAAGAGUACCUGAAGUCAUCAAAGAGAAAGUAAAACCAGCCCCUGAAAAGAAAGAGGCUGAAGUCAAGGAGAAAGCUAAACCAGCCCCUGAGAAGAAAGAGGCUGAAGUCAUCAAGGAGAAAGUUAAAACAGCUCCUGUAAAGAAAGAAGUCAUCAAGGAGAAACCUAAACCAGUGCCUGAAAAGAAAGAGGCUGAAGUCAUCAAGGAGAAAGUUAAGCCAGCUCCUGUAAAGAAAGAGCCUGAAGUUCAUAAAGAAAAGGCACCUGAACCAGUGCCAGAACCUACAAAGAAAGGUAUAUAGUGUCAUCGAUCAUUAUCUUUUAAUAUUUGCACAUUGCACAUCUGAUG
rnacentral:lncRNA from 1 species